ACGGAUAACAGGGGUGCUUGCACCGCUGACGAGUGGCGAACGGGUGAGUAAUGCGUCGGAAUGUACCGUGUAAUGGGGGAUAGCUCGGCGAAAGCCGGAUUAAUACCGCAUACGCCCUGAGGGGGAAAGUGGGGGACCGUAAGGCCUCACGUUAUACGAGCAGCCGACGUCUGAUUAGCUAGUUGGUGAGGUAAGAGCUCACCAAGGCGACGAUCAGUAGCGGGUCUGAGAGGAUGAUCCGCCACACUGGGACUGAGACACGGCCCAGACUCCUACGGGAGGCAGCAGUGGGGAAUUUUGGACAAUGGGCGCAAGCCUGAUCCAGCCAUGCCGCGUGUCUGAAGAAGGCCUUCGGGUUGUAAAGGACUUUUGUUCGGGAGGAAAUCCCGCUGGUUAAUACCUGGCGGGGAUGACAGUACCGGAAGAAUAAGCACCGGCUAACUACGUGCCAGCAGCCGCGGUAAUACGUAGGGUGCAAGCGUUAAUCGGAAUUACUGGGCGUAAAGCGUGCGCAGGCGGUUGUGCAAGUCUGAUGUGAAAGCCCCGGGCUUAACCUGGGAACGGCAUUGGAGACUGCACGACUAGAGUGCGUCAGAGGGGGGUAGAAUUCCAUCGUGUAGCAGUGAAAUGCGUAGAGAUGUGGAGGAAUACCCGAUGGCGAAGGCAGCCCCCUGGGAUA
rnacentral:rRNA from 1 species